UACGUAGGCAGCGAGCGUUGUUCGGAGUUACUGGGCGUACAGCGUGCGUAGGCGGUUUUGUAAGUUUGGUGUGAAAUCUCCCGGCUCAACUGGGAGGGUGCGCCGAAAACUGCAAGGCUGGAGUGUGGGAGAGGUAGGCGGAAUUCCUGGUGUAGCGGUGAAAUGCGUAGAUAUCAGGAGGAACACCUGUGGUGUAGACGGCUUACUGGACCAUAACUGACGCUGAGGCACGAAAGCGUGGGGAGCAAACAGG
rnacentral:rRNA from 1 species